AUCGCUUCUCGAACUUUUGACUAAGAUCAAAGUGUAUCUGUUCUAAUCAGCUUAAUCUCUGGUUACGGUCUCCAUAGGAAGAAUUAUUUUAAUAAAGUAGAAUGCGCCCGCCUGUUACAUUGAAGAAAAUUUGACUAUUU
rnacentral:snRNA from 1 species